GACGAACGCUGGCGGCGUGCUUAACACAUGCAAGUCGAACGGAAAGGCCCUGCUUUUGUGGGGUGCUCGAGUGGCGAACGGGUGAGUAACACGUGAGUAACCUGCCCUUGACUUUGGGAUAACUUCAGGAAACUGGGGCUAAUACCGGAUAGGAGCUCCUGCUGCAUGGUGGGGGUUGGAAAGUUUCGGCGGUUGGGGAUGGACUCGCGGCUUAUCAGCUUGUUGGUGGGGUAGUGGCUUACCAAGGCUUUGACGGGUAGCCGGCCUGAGAGGGUGACCGGCCACAUUGGGACUGAGAUACGGCCCAGACGCCUACGGGAGGCAGCAGUGGGGAAUAUUGCAGAAUGGGCGGAAGCCUGAUGCAGCAACGCCGCGUGCGGGAUGACGGCCUUCGGGUUGUAAACCGCUUUCGCCUGUGACGAAGCGUGAGUGACGGUAAUGGGUAAAGAAGCACCGGCUAACUACGUG
rnacentral:rRNA from 1 species